GGGGAAUAUUGCACAAUGGGGGAAACCCUGAUGCAGCGACGCCGCGUGAGCGAAGAAGUAUUUCGGUAUGUAAAGCUCUAUCAGCAGGGAAGAUAAUGACGGUACCUGACUAAGAAGCCCCGGCUAACUACGUGCCAGCAGCCGCGGUAAUACGUAGGGGGCAAGCGUUAUCCGGAUUUACUGGGUGUAAAGGGAGCGUAGACGGCAAGGCAAGUCUGAUGUGAAAACCCAGGGCUUAACCCUGGGACUGCAUUGGAAACUGUCUGGCUCGAGUGCCGGAGAGGUAAGCGGAAUUCCUAGUGUAGCGGUGAAAUGCGUAGAUAUUAGGAAGAACACCAGUGGCGAAGGCGGCUUACUGGACGGUAACUAACGUUGAGGCUCGAAAGCGUGGGGAGCAAAC
rnacentral:rRNA from 1 species